rnacentral:rRNA from 1 species
AUGCAGUCGAGCGGACAGAUGGGAGCUUGCUCCCUGAUGUUAGCGGCGGACGGGUGAGUAACACGUGGGUAACCUGCCUGUAAGACUGGGAUAACUCCGGGAAACCGGGGCUAAUACCGGAUGCUUGUUUGAACCGCAUGGUUCAAACAUAAAAGGUGGCUUCGGCUACCACUUACAGAUGGACCCGCGGCGCAUUAGCUAGUUGGUGAGGUAACGGCUCACCAAGGCAACGAUGCGUAGCCGACCUGAGAGGGUGAUCGGCCACACUGGGACUGAGACACGGCCCAGACUCCUACGGGAGGCAGCAGUAGGGAAUCUUCCGCAAUGGACGAAAGUCUGACGGAGCAACGCCGCGUGAGUGAUGAAGGUUUUCGGAUCGUAAAGCUCUGUUGUUAGGGAAGAACAAGUACCGUUCGAAUAGGGCGGUACCUUGACGGUACCUAACCAGAAAGCCACGGCUAACUACGUGCCAGCAGCCGCGGUAAUACGUAGGUGGCAAGCGUUGUCCGGAAUUAUUGGGCGUAAAGGGCUCGCAGGCGGUUCCUUAAGUCUGAUGUGAAAGCCCCCGGCUCAACCGGGGAGGGUCAUUGGAAACUGGGGAACUUGAGUGCAGAAGAGGAGAGUGGAAUUCCACGUGUAGC